AGCAAUACGUCAGCGGCAGACGGGUGAGUAACGCGUGGGAACAUACCUCUUGGUUCGGAACAACACAGGGAAACUUGUGCUAAUACCGGAUAAGCCCUUACGGGGAAAGAUUUAUCGCCGAGAGAUUGGCCCGCGUCUGAUUAGCUAGUUGGUAGGGUAAUGGCCUACCAAGGCGACGAUCAGUAGCUGGUCUGAGAGGAUGAUCAGCCGCAUUGGGACUGAGACACGGCCCAAACUCCUACGGGAGGCAGCAGUGGGGAAUAUUGGACAAUGGGGGCAACCCUGAUCCAGCCAUGCCGCGUGAGUGAUGAAGGCCCUAGGG
rnacentral:rRNA from 1 species